UGUAGGCUGAAACUCGCCUACAUGAAGCUGGAAUUGCUAGUAAUCACAGGUCAGCAUACUGUGGUGAAUACGUUCCCGGGCCUUGUACACACCGCCCGUCACACCAUGAGAGUUGAGAAUACCCGAAGCCCAUGUCAAAGUGGUCGAAGGUAGGCUUGAUGAUUGGGGUGAAGUCGUAACAAGGUACC
rnacentral:rRNA from 1 species